CACGUAGGUGGCAAGCGUUGUCCGGAAUUAUUGGGCGUAAAGCGCGCGCAGGUGGUUCCUUAAGUCUGAUGUGAAAGCCCACGGCUCAACCGUGGAGGGUCAUUGGAAACUGGGGAACUUGAGUGCAGAAGAGGAGAGUGGAAUUCCAAGUGUAGCGGUGAAAUGCGUAGAGAUUUGGAGGAACACCAGUGGCGAAGGCGACUUUCUGGUCUGUAACUGACACUGAGGCGCGAAAGCGUGGGGAGCAAACAGG
rnacentral:rRNA from 1 species